UACGUAGGUGACAAGCGUUAUCCGGAUUUAUUGGGCGUAAAGCGCACGCAGGCGGUCUAUCAAGUCUGACGUGAAAUCUCUCGGCUUAACCGGGAGCGGUCGUUGGAAACUGAAGGACUUGAGGCGAUGAGAGGGGUGUGGAAUUCCCGGUGUAGUGGUGGAAUGCGUAGAUAUCGGAAGGAACACCGGUGGCGAAAGCGACGUGCUGGACCUUUUCUGACGCUGAGGCGCGAAAGCCAGGGGAGCAAACGGG
rnacentral:rRNA from 1 species